GGAUGUGAGGGUUAUCUGGCUGCGACAUCUGUCACCCCAUUGAUCGCCAGGAUUGAUUCGGCUGAUCUGGCUGUCUAGGCGGGUGUCCCCUUCCUCCCUCACUGCUCCAUGCGCAUCCCUCCCAAAGCUGCACACUCGGUCAAAGAGGAUGACUGUCCCAGACAGAGGAGGACAAUUCUUCGGUCAAGGGUAUACAAGUAGCUGCGUUCCCUUGCUAGAACCUCCAAGCAAGCUCUCAAGUGAUCAUUAACCAUUAUCUUUUUGAAAAUUGGGACACUGUAGAUUCAUCUUAACUCUUUAUUUUAGGUGAGAUAUUGAACCUAUUC
ensembl:misc_RNA 7SK 7SK RNA